rnacentral:rRNA from 1 species
CCUACGGGUGGCUGCAGUGGGGAAUAUUGCACAAUGGGGGGAACCCUGAUGCAGCGACGCCGCGUGAGUGAAGAAGUAUUUCGGUAUGUAAAGCUCUAUCAGCAGGGAUGAAAAUGACGGUACCUGCCUAAGAAGCCCCGGCUAACUACGGGCCAACAGCCGCGGUAAUACGUAGGGGGCAAGCGUUAUCCGGAUUUACUGGGUGGAAAGGGAGCGUAGACGGCAGAGCAAGGCUGAAGUGAAAGCCCGCGGCCCAACUGCGGGACUGCUUUGGAAACUGCCCGGCUAGAGUGCUGGAGAGGUAAGCGGAAUUCCUAGUGUAGCGGUGAAAUGCGUAGAUAUUAGAAGGAACACCAAUAGCGUAGGCAGGUUGCUGGGACGGUUCUGACACUAAGGCACGAAAGCGUAGGGAGCAAACGGGAUUAGAUACCCUGGUAGUC